AGGUGAACAGGCGGCCGCAUGUCUUCGGGCAUGAGGAAAGUCCGAGCACCGCAGGGCAGGGUGCCGGUUAACGGCCGGUGGAGGCGACUCCAAGGAGAGUGCAACAGAAAGAAACCGCCGGAUUUCUCCGGUAAGGAUGGAAAGGCGAGGUAAGAGCUCACCCGCGGCCUGGCAACUCGUCCGUGAUGUAAACCCCACCUGGUGCAAGAUGCAAUGGGGUACAAUGCAGUAGCCCGCUGCGCCCCGCAAUCGCUGGAGCCUGCACGGCAACGUCAGGCCUGGAUAGAUGACCGCCCAAUACAGAACUCGGCUUACGGUCACGCUC
rnacentral:RNase_P_RNA from 1 species